GUCACCGAGGUAUCUUGUUAAAAUGCAGAUACUGAUUCUGCAUGUCUGGAGAAGGACUAAGAUUCUGAAUUUCUAAUAAGCUCCCAGGUGAUGCUGA
rnacentral:pre_miRNA from 1 species